CCUCCGCUGUCACCGAGCCCCGCGCCCGGCGCCAGGGCUCCCACUGUCAAUCCGCACCCACUUCCCGCCGCGCCCGGCAGAGGGCAGCACACGCCCCCCGCGGUCCCGCCCCGCCCUGCUCCGCCCCUCGAGGGCCUACCGCGGUGCCCGCGGGGAAAUGUAGUCCCUCCCGUCGGUUCUGCCAGGGACGCCGGGAUUUGUAGUCCCACUCUGCGGGCCCUGGCCUGGGUACGGGGGACUUGGCAUUUAACUUGGAACUUAUGUCGCACUUCGUUUCUGCCCCUUUUGCAAGUUUUUUUCUCUUCUCAGUCAGUGAUGCCACGCACUCCAGCUCCCUAUGUACACCCUGUGGCCUCUCUGACCCCAAGGAGAGGCCUGCAGGAGGCUGUCUUGCCUGGAGUCUAGGAAGGAUAUAGGGUCCCAGAUAGUGUGCUGUUGCUAUAGAAACUACUGCAUGGCAAACCUCAGUUUCCCUCAUGUUUGGGAGUGGAAUGCCAGACUUGGAUCUCGUGCUUUCACCCCUGCACCUGAACAUAAGGGACAAGGCUGGGGUCAGGCUGAUCAAGGACAGCAUGGAAACAUAUGUCCAAGGAGCCUCCCUCCCUCCCAUUGUGAGUUUUCCAAUUAUACCCCUCCUCAAGCCUCAUCAGUCCUACCUGGCUGGUGACCCCCACCACCAUGCUACAGGGAAACAUUUUUCAGAUCUGCUUCAUAUUAUUCCCCUGUUGGAAGUUACAUAGCUCUGAGCUACCCUUCUCUGCUUUCCCCACUUCCUCCUCUGCCCAGUACCACGUAGCCCCAGAUCUGUGGGUCUUUGGCGGGUGGCUCCUAAGGAGAACAGGAAUGAAAUCUAGAGGGAGAAAACAUCUCUUGUUCACUUCGUUACAACAAAUGGGCUUGAUUCCCCGGUGAUUCCAAGUAGCUAUUGCUCUUGUCCACAAUUAAGGGCCAGCCCUUCUUCAAACAGACCCUUGGGGCAUAAGGGUCUAGGUGUAAAUAUGAUCAGUUUCACUCAACCCAGACCUUCUGACGCCCUCUUGGAAACAGGUUCUGGUAGCAUCACCCUCCUCCCGGAAGGACCCAUGAUUGCCACGAGUGCACACAGGCAUCCAGCAUCUCUCAGAAAUUCCCAGUGCAAACCUGAUCACAGAGACAAGCUGUGAAGAGACUCCAAGCUCUGAGCGGUAGAGGGACCAUUCCCCGAGCCCUACCUCAUGCCCCAUCCCUCUUAGAAUCUCAGUAACCCUCCUCCCCCCUCCCACCCCUGGCCACCACAAACCUCCUAGCCGCUCAGGGAGAACAUGGUCCAGUAGAGGCAAAUCUAGGCCUGACUCCCACUCUUCCCCCCCCAAUCUUGUGAUAGGAGCUGCCUUACAGGCCACAACUGCCCUCUAAAAACAACACGCUGGCCAACAUGGAAAAGAACUAUUUAUUAUGAGAGAAAACCCAAAAUCUAGAAAAAGAAGGCUGAGUCCAGAGAAGAAGCACACAGAGAAGCUUGGGGUGGGGGAUCUAGAGGAAGAAGGGAGCCCAGGCGUCCAGGCACUCAGUCUAGGCGGCAACGGCAAAGCCCACCCUCUUGUUGCCAAUGUCGAAGAUGGAAUAGUAGGACCUGAGGAAGACGUCCCCGAGGAUCCACAGGGGCUGGCCACUGCUAGAGGGCAGCCUCGUGCCCGAGAAGGGGUUUGGAAUCGGUGGGUGGACAACGUGAGGCAGCAUUGCCAGGAGCUGGGAAAUGGCACGUGGUGAGGAGACCCAACGCUUCCGGCUCCCAGCCCCUCCUCACACCCCGUCACAUCCCUGCAGACUUACUCUGAAGAGCAUCUCCAUCUGACCUCCCAUGAGACGGUGAGGUCUGUGAGGUUCCAACCCGGCUCAGAGCCCCAGGGACAGUCCCCACGUCCCGGGGCAGGGAGCAGCCUGCCACGUGGCUCACCCUUAGAGUGUCAUAGCCGUAGAUGCCGCGGAGGCCGCCACUGCCGUAUCGCACGGAGAAGAUCUGCCCGUUGCUGGAGGAGACUCUCAAUGAGAACUUCGUGAAGAGUGGAGAGAGUGGAAGAGAAAGAAUGUUGUAGAUGCUGGUGGGAGGGAAUGGCCUUAUCUGCAGUGAACAGAAUGGAGCAGAGAGAAGUGG